AUGACGACGGCGGCGCGGCCGACGUGGGUGCCGGCGAAGGGCGGGAACGAGCAGGGCGGCACGCGCAUCUUCGGGCCCUCCGGGAAGUGCUCCUCCCGCGACCUCGCCGCCCACACCUCCCUCAAGCCCAGGGUUCUGGUAGCGACGAUGACGGUCGUCGAGAGGUUCGUGGACUGGACGGUGCCGUGGCUGCCGAUGUACAGAGAAGCGAAGCUGCUGCUCGUUCUCUACCUCUGUCACCCCAGCACACGGAGUGCGGGGAGCGGGGCACAUGUACGAUGGCUUCCUCCGUCCGCUGGUGGCGAGGCACAAGGACGACAUCGACCGGUCCAGUUGGAGCUGAGGGCCAGAGCGAGGGACGUGACUGCGUCGCAACUCAAGGCGGCGGCUGCCGUCAGUCAGGUGUGGCUCUUCGAGGCUAUCCAAUGUGUCUCGUCGCAGCUGUAG
rnacentral:rRNA from 1 species